CUCACCAGUGCACCCAGGUCACCUGAAACCGAAGGGCAGCCAGGGCUGCCUCUCUGCCCCUCUCCCUGCCCCAUGUUGGAAAGGGCAGCUCUCCCUGUGCUCAGGCUGGUGCCAGCAACCAGGCAGAACUCAGUGCCAUUUGAUAUCAAACCCUCUCACACUCACAGCAUGGCCAGGCAACAGCAGAGAGUGUGUCCCAGUCAGCUGAUAAAGGAGCCCUCCUUCUUGAUCUUCUACAGGCAGGAUGCAAUCCCUGUCAAAGCUUAAGAGGACACCAAGUGUGUAACUCAGAACUUCACCUUCGAAUGUGCAUGGCAACUCUCUCAGGUUUAUUGAGACACUCGCAAGAUCCUCAGUGAAGGGAAGGUCAGGACUGUGGGAGAAAUGAACCCAGAUGACAAACUGAAGUCCAAAUUUCCAGCAAGGUAUCUUUCUGAGCUGCUGGCACCACAAGUGUUUCAGAAAAGCAACAGCAGCCCUUCAAGAGCCCUGCAAACCUUCCAGCACCUUGAAAACCUGUCAUGCCUCUUUGGCUUCUCAGAGUUUAAUAAAGCUUGAUUUGUGUUGAAAACUCCAAGUGAAACCAGGUCAAAGAUUUUGACUGGGAUCUCUGCAGUUCUCCUCACACCUGCCAAUAUGCGCACAGACCCAUGGAGAGCUGCCAGAAUCAAAACAGCUGAGUUAUGGCUCUGCACCGGCCCACAGACACACUCAGAGUGUCCCUACAGUCAUAGAAGGGGUAAGUUUUUUUGUCCACAAUGCAUGUGGCUUGAGAACACCUCCCAAAAAAGCAUGAGAACCAAACCCUAGAAUCUCAAUGUUAUCCAUUGAGAAGUCAUUAAGGGAGCUGUGGGAAAGAGCUGCCAAUAGGAAGUGUAGUUCAUUCUUUGUGCCCAUCUGUGCUUUAAAUAUUCUAAUAGGCUGUGGAAUGCAGUGGAAAUGUUUCAAACAUGGCUACAUCUCUACUGGGAAGCCCAAUAGCAAAAAGCAAUCUUCUCAUUUCACAGAAGAUACCAAAAAACCCUGAAAACAUUUUUCUGUCCUUUUAGGUCAUGACUGUGCUCAAACAUGUGGUGUAGAGGUCUCUCAUUAUUUCCAUGUGCAACCAUCCAGUCUGAUGCAGCUUUGAAAACAUAAAAGCAUGAUCAGAAAUUAUAUGGCAGUAUGAAAUUUCAAGACAUCUCCAUUAAGUCAUAAUAAUAAGACUGUGUAUCCCAUGAAUUUAAUAAAAGAUGAUAUUAAUAUCAGGUAUUCCCACUCCUCUCAUGAGCUACUCCAUCUGGUGUGUAGGAAUAGAGUACAGCAAUUGAGGAAAAAAAAUGCUAAAAAUACUAACAAAUACUAAGGUUUGCUUACUCUUGGUCUUCCUAACUUCAACAACAGAAGCAAUUAAAGUGCAUCAAUCAGGACAUUUUUUUCUGUGACUGGGAUAUUCACCAGUGUUUUUAACAGCUUGCAAAUUCCUAUGACUAUAAUCAGACUGAUCCCACUGUGCUCUCUGUCAGAUACCACAAUGGCUAUAAUCUGGCACCUGCUUGGUACAAAGCUUGGAAGUGAGCCUGGGUGCCCACAGAAUAAAAAUUAAGCAUGUUCGCUACAGAAGGGGAGGAUCAGAGGGAAUUUAGGAACACUAGUGACAGCCUUUUUAUUUCCCUCUCAGCAAGAGAGUCCUGGCUAAGACAGGUCAGAAAACAGUGCUGUUGUUCUGCCUUAAACAUCUCUCUUCCAGAGGCAGAAUUCAGAAGCAGCCAGCAUGGGGACGCAUUCCCAAUAAAAUCAUGUACCUCCAUCUGUCUCUUCUGGACUGCCCAUCUUGCCCCAUUGUCAGACUGUUAGAAAGCAACAAAUGCUUUCUUACCCUGACCAGUUGGCAAAUUCUCUUCCUCAUGCCUGACUUAGAUAGAUACAUCACUUAGAAAAGCAGUGGGUUUAGAUAACCUACCCUUUUUUAUCCUUUCAAAUUCACUGGUUUUCCUCAGUGCAGAAUUCAUUGGAUGCCAUUGACCUGGAGGUAACUCAAGCAGAUUUUUCAAGACAACCUGCCCCAGAUGCUGAUCAUUCUGCCCAGUAAACUACUGUAGUGGUAAACUACUGUAAUGUCUCUGACAGACAUAUCUCUGCAGCUGUAAGGAAAUCUCUCAUCAGUUUAUUGACAUACAGGGACCUAUAUUACAGUUUUAUCCACAUAAGAAAGCAUUUACUCAUCGUCUGUGUUGGCUUUGAAAUUCCUUAUUGGAAUUGGAAACUGCUAAAUAGCAAUCUUCAUUGCUGUCUAGCUAAACAUAGGCAGACCCAUGAAUUGGAUGUUCUCCUAACAGAGCAUACAAGCUUUAAUUAAUGAAAACUGAGAUGAAAGGAAAGAGAAGCAAUUUGUAACACUAAAUCUGCACAUUUCUUCAAAUGCUUAUUGCCAUUUUGUGAGACAUAGAGACACUUGAACAGCUUGGCUGCUCCUGUUUGGCUGGGCCUCUCUUGUAAAGACAUAGUGAUAGCAAUGAGGACUGACAGCUUCACAGUCAGAGGUGCAAUGAGAAGUCAGGAGUUACUGGCUCCCAAUGGUGGGCACAGCUCCCCUCCCUCUUCACAGAGCCCAGAAUUGCCAGGGUCUAAAAAAAGGGAAACAGCCCAGAUGGAUUGCAUCUGACUAAAAAAGGGAAGAAAAAUGGAGUUUAGCUGUAGGUCAGAUCACACACUUGCCCUUGCUGUGGGAUACUUGCUGUGUGAACUGUCACUGCCCUGCAUUUUAUCCUUUUGGACUGGAGAAAGCAGCUCAGCCAGAAGUAAAGGAAAUCAGUGCUGUCAGGUCCAAAAGCACAGGGUCUUCAGAUCAGGGGGAUUGGCAGGUCUGUAACAGCCCAGCAAACAUAUCUUCAUCUUCAAAACACCUUUUGGUUAAGGUGGGAUUCCUCUCACCUGCACUUAGCUGCCAAAACUGAGGUGCAGAGCAUGCUAGCAGGUUUGGUUCAUUUUAUAGUCAAUGAAGAGAACGAUUCAUAUUCUUCCCAGAUCACAUCCAACACCAUCCUGAGAGAUAUAGUGAUGGGCAUAAAGUAGAGCUGCGCAGGUUGCAGGGGCAAAUCUUUUCUACCUGACUUUCUUGACACUGGGAUAUGAAUUUAUCAUUGGUCACAAUGAGAGUAUAAACAGAGACACCACGUGCUAAAAGCUACCUGGGCUUGAAUAUCAAAGUACAAAAAUUCCUGGGCUGAACAAUUCAAUCCUGUUUACAUACUGUGAUUGAUAAAGGAAAAAUUUCUUACAAUUAAAAAGGAUACAAUUAUGACAAAGCUUUAUAAGAAACAGACAGGUGUAGUGAACAGUGAAUUAACACUGAAUUGAGACUUGAUCAACAGGAAUAUACAGAAACUACUGAAAGCCUGUCUGUGGUCACAAUUUAAAGCACUUUGCCCAUUUCUUUCUGGGAAAACAUUUCUGUGACUCUAAUAAAUGUCCUGUUUUUUGACAGUAUCCUUUCUUUUACUCCCAAAAGGACAGCUGAAGAAGAUUAUAGUGAAACAGUAUCAAAAGUUGUACAGAUUGAAUCUAACGCUAUCUAGCAGGCAGUGGAAUAAAUACUGAAGGAAGCAGCAGCAUGGUUUAAGCUAGGCUAAACAAAGCAUGGCAGUAUGUGCCCAUGUGUGUUUGCAGCAGGGCCCCUUUCCUGCUCUGCCUCUGCAGUGCAAACUGCAGCUGCAGCUGUGAUUUCUUGGCGAAGGGAAAGAAAGCAGCUCCAAGGAGAGCUGGUAAAUCCCAGCCCGGCUUCAGGCUGGCUUGCAAAUGGACACAUGCAGAGGGCUGUGUCAGGAUUGUGUCUGGAGCUCCAGGACCCUGCACAGGUGUAUGGAUCCGGGAAGGGAGAAACCAAUGUCCGCUCUAUGGCAGCUCAGUAGAUGAUUCCUUCUGGUUCCAGCAGCAAGUACUUCUUUAUGGGCAGAGGGAUGGAGAGCAAGGGCACUCCCCGAUGGCACCUUUCUGACAGUAUUGCCCGAAUCGCACAUCUGCACAAAUGCAUGAGUGACCGUGGGGAAUUGCUGCACACGGUGAACAGAGAGUCAUAGAAAUCCUGGUGCCGCUGUAAAAAAGCCACAAACGUGUUUUAGGGCAAUGAGGGUGUUUUUCUUCCUCCCCUUUCCCCUGCCCACAUGUAGCCCUUGUCAGAACAAGGUCAAAAGCACAGCCUGCCAUCUUGUCGCUUGAAGGCACAUCAAGAACCAGGGACUUCAUUUAGCCAAAAUGCCUGCACAAAAUUCUUAUGCUUGCCUCAGAUAUUUAGUGUUAAGUGAAAGACGAUGACGAAAUAUUUAGGUUUGGUCUGCAGGUUUGAUAUGCCUUAUCCAUCAUUUUGAGGAGGGUGUUCCUCUGUGGUGUAAGUCUUGGACUGAACAGACCCUGCAGGGUGCCCAGGGUCAGAGCACAUGGGUGAGUUAAUCCUCUAAACCUCACCACGGGGCAGUGAGGCAGCACCAUGCCAGUGGUACUGGGGCUGUAAACAGCAGAGUAGUUUUGGUCUUACUCAUCGCUCCAGUGGCCUUCUAGAAUAUAUGAAAUUGCAUCCCCAUGAGCAGAAAAGUGCAGAUGCUUACAAAUAACAUCAAAAAACCCCAAAGCAAAUGGUAAAUACAUGUGACUACAUGUGACUUGACCUUAUUUUGUAAUCUUGUUACUUGAUAGACCUGGUUACACCUAUUUUCAGGUUACACUUUAUGUACAGUAAAGUAUGCAUUUGUGUCAACAAAAGUUUUUCUUCAAUUUCAUGUUAAGUUCAGCUUUGACAACAAAAAUUAAAACCUCAACAAAGAAAUAGAACAACUGUGACCUUUUCCAAAUAAGAAUGUCCCAAAAUUUCAGAUUAAUAUUUUUGUUUGAAUAAAAAUUUUUACUGUUAUUAUUAUUGUUGUUGCUGCUGUUAUUAAGGUGAAAAAAUACCUUUAACUUUUCAUUUUGUUUUCACUAAAAUGAUUUUUUUUUCUGAACAAAUCUGACCCCAACAAAAUCUCACAGUUUCUCUGGCAAUAUAAUUCUUCUUUAUAAUACAGAUGGAGUUCCCUAAACCUACUGACAAUGUAUAGCAGAUAUUACUGCAUUUCAGCACUGAUUUUAAAAUUUUGGAAAAGUCCAGUAUUAACAAAUAACCUAUCUGUAAACUGGAAUAUUUAGACUAUGAGGAUUUCUGAAUUAAAGGGAUAAUUAUGUAAAAGCAUGUAACUUGUCCCACAAUUUUGCCUUUUGACACAUUUUUUCCUCUUUUAAUCACUUGUUUUUAAUUUAAAUUCUCCUUGCAUUUUCAGCUAAGCCAUCCUGUUCACAGAAACCUGACCCAUGCAACAGAACCUAAAGAUACAUAAUCAUACCCAUGUUAUAUGGCACUUUUAAAACAUUUGCUGACCUAAAAAAUAUAUAAAUAUAUACGUUGACAAAUCUGAAGAAACACCAAUACAGCCAGAAUCUUUUCACUUGCUGAAUACAGGGACAUCUGAGCUUCUGCAGCACCACUGACAGGGGGUCCUCCAAAGGAUAAUGUUGCAAUGAAAAUGUCUCAAAAAUAUGUCUUUUUUUCAGUGAAUGAUAUGCUUUUGUCAAAUAAGCAAUAUUAAAUGGGGAAGUCCCAAA